UUAUAGCGUUGACGUACAUAGCUGUAGACCUGCAAAAUUGGUAUUCCGUUAUAUAUACGGCAUGUUACAGGUAUGAUGAUAACCGUUACAAUCUAAUGUAAGAAUUGAAUGCAUUAGACCUCCACCUACCUUUGGACUUAAUGUCCUCAUCAGAAACACCUUGUGAGUAUAAAUGAGUAGCCCCACCUAUUCUGAAUGAGUGUGAUUUGAAUAUAGAUGUGUCUAAACCAAUGAAUUUCACGGCUUUGUGUAGGAGUGAUGUGAACUGAUAUUUGGUGAGAGGUUUAGCGUUGAUAUGGCAGAAUAAUGGGCCCAUGCUCAAAUAAAGAUGCACUUUGAGGAUUGUAUGUAAUUUGUAAUGUGGUAUCCCUACGAUAUUGAUCAUUUUUUGAACCUUUGAUAAACAAAGAAAUUUUUUCUUCAUCAAUGGUGAAGUCUUGGGAAAAUAGUACUGGUGUAAGGUUACUGGUGAAAGCAAAUUCACUAAUAUGCAGCAGUGCAAAAAAUGCUAAAUAAAAAGCAGUUGAAAACAUUGCCAAGUCAAGGCAAAAUUAUAUUUAGAGCGGAAGGUUUCAAAAGAGUUAAUGCCCUUCUGAUAUGUUGAAGCAGUAUUUAAGAUACUGCUGCUUCGAGCAAACUUUCUACACGUCGUUUAAGAGAGUUAUCAAUGCCGGAAGUAUAGUGACUGGAAUCAUGUCUGCCUGAGGAGCCAAGUUUCUGAAUCUUUCCCACUGAAAUCGAGAAAUUGAAUCCGCGAUAGAGUUUUGAUAACCUGGAACAUGGAUAGUUUAAAUCUGAAUGUUAUGCCUAAUGCAAAGCAA